rnacentral:misc_RNA from 1 species
AUUGGACCGUGAUGUACUGAGCUAAUAACUCCAUCUUUACAUUUGUAGUUAUGAGUAUUAUUUUGAUCUCAAAACCGUGUCUUCCAUUUUUGUUGCAUUUUUUCACUGGCUUUUGAAUUUUCUUAGUAGUUAUGGUGAAAUUAUGAUACUUCUGAUCCAUUACGUACUUAUGGUCUAUUGGUUUUGUGAAAUGUGAGUCUACUUAGAAUUUUUACAAUGUUAGAUGACCAAGAUUCUAGCAUCUUGCCUAGUGUUAGGGAAAGGGCAAUUAGAAAGAAAUAAACAUG